UCCGGCGAGUGCAAGUUUAGCGUCAAGCGAAGCUAGCAGGUGCAUGAAGUUUGGAUCUCAGGUCAUCGCUAAGAGGGACAGUUUCACAUGUCGGUAAUUUUGGGGGACAGAGAGAUCGACGGGAUGUCACCCACCGUAUUGGGGCGGGGUGGUCGAAAUGGAAGCUUGCAUCAGGAGUCUUGUGUGACAAAAAGUACCACAGAAACACAAAGGGAAGUUUUAUAGGGCUGUGGUUAGACAUGCCAUGUUGUAUGGGGCGGAGUGGUGGCUGGUGAAAAACUCUCAUGUUCAGAGAAUGAAGGUUACAGAGAUAAAGAUGUUCAGGUGGAUGUGCGGGUUCACCAGGUUAGUAAGAUUAAGAAUGAAGUUAUUCGGGAAAAUGUGGGGGUGGUCCCGGUGGAUGAGAAAAUGGGGAAGUUAUUUAUGUGAUUUCUGCUGGAGUUACUAAUGCUCUAUUGUUUUUGUUUUUGUUUCCGUUUUUCGCUGAGCUGAGGGUCGAUUGGUAAUGGCCUCUCUGCCCUUUCGGAUAGAGGUAAGGCUUGUGAACAUAUAUCAUCCCCAGAUCCUACUUUGUGGGAUUAUACUGGAUAGUUAUUGUUAUUGGAUAAGUGACUGUUGAUAACUGGUCGCGAAAAGAUGAUUGUUGACUUUUCUUAAUUGGAACAUCUUUUCUAAUAUCCUUUCAUGACCAAGCACUCAUUAGUUUUUCAAAUUAUAUUUUUUGACUUUCCUGCAUAAGAAAUAAGGCAAAUUCAUGAAAGAUGAAAAAAUUGACCUAUGAGUUUUACCCGGAAAGAGAAGGGACAAUGAGAUAAAAGGUCUUUUAAAGC
rnacentral:lncRNA from 1 species